rnacentral:lncRNA from 1 species
UCAGGUCUCUCUUUUUGUCUGGGAGAAAGGAAGGAGAGCGGAUUAGCCAGCCCACGUUGGGUAACCACAAAUCUUCGGGAGGGAUCCACAGGGAAGCACACCCCAAACAGCCCGAUACCAGAUGCAAUCAACACGUUGAUAUAUUUACCAACAGCCAGCUCUACUUUCAUCAGCUACUGCCUGUCCAACACACAAAAAGACCAACCUGACAGGUGGGUACCUGCAGUCGCUGAAGCCCCACUUGUAUCUUGCAUGGAGCACCCGCCGUCAGGGCAAAGGGGCUGGGCAGGCUGGGGACUUUGGGCAUCACUUGAAAUAAAAUACUGGCCUGAACGACAGCCCAGUAAGGCGUGACUUUGUUCCCAAAUGUCAGCUCUUUCCUUCUGAACUUGGUUUGUUUGCUGUAUUUAGUGCAGCAACUGUCUUUUUCACUGUCCAAGGAACUGCCCCGUUGAGUGCUCUGCCUUCCCUUGGGCUCGUUUAAAUCUCUCUUAAGAAAAAAGAAGUGAUCCUUAUCUUAAUAUACAGCAAUUGUGAGCAGUGGAGAGCAAUACAGAAGAGCUUUGAGUUAUAAGAGAGGAUUCGGUGAUGCAGUACGAGCACCGUGUCCCUGAAUACAGAGCAAACCACAACCGAGGUGGGAUGAAAAGCCCACCCUGCCCGUGGGCAGCUCAGGCAGGCUCCGGGCCUGGCCCUGACUGCAAAAACACCAAGAGUGCUAUUAACUCGUAGUCUACAGCCUUGAUGUGCAAUGGGAAACCAAAGCGUGAGUCAAGGAUCAAACCUGUGACAUCCCACCGCCCAGUUUGACACAGGAGGUGACAAAUGCCAGCUUGCUCUGCCAGCUUCCCUGCCUGACACGUGCCCUGGCCAGAAGGCAGCUUGUUCAGCCAGGCCAUCACUGCCUCCACCUCUUAAACUCCUAAAGUUUCAGCUAAAGGCAAAGGAAGUCCACAACCCCUCAUAUCACCAAGUUGUUCAUCUUUCCUAACUUUUUUUUGCCAGAACAAAGCCAUCGCUGGAUUGAUUUGCAGCAUCAAGCACAUUUCGCGGCCUCACUCCUCCUAUUUCCUUGGUCACAGUGGGGCAGACACACCCGGGCAGACACAGCUGGGAACCACAGGUUAAACAUCUCCAAGCAAAAGUGAAUUUUGUUGUGUUCACAUUUCAAUUCAUGGCACCUCUGUGAGGCUGGGAGAGAGGACAAGUUAGGCUGACAUUUAAGUCACACCCUCGAGCCAUCUGAUGGGACGUAGCAGGCAGAGCAGCACCAGGGAAGAUGUGCAGACUGACCUGCAGGGAAGACUGAGGUAAACAUCACCACGAGCACUCGUGGAAGGGAAUAAAUGCAGCUCCCUGUAAAAAUGCUUUUCUUUUUUGCCCUCAACAUUUCCUCACAAACAAAGUAAGGCCUUUCAGAUGCCGGGAUUUUGGAAUGUGGGAGGGCUUUUGUUUGUUUUUCCAAGUAAUCACAAAUAACGCAGCAACGCCCCCAAACAGUUCUUAAAGUGCUUUCCUUAUCAUAGUUUGGGCAUAGAAUUAACU